rnacentral:rRNA from 1 species
CUACGGGUGGCUGCAGUAAGGAAUAUUGCGCAUUGGAGGCAACUCUGACGCAGCCAUGCCGCGUGCAGGAAGAAGGCCUUAUGGGUCGUAAACUGCUUUUAUUUAGGAAUAAACCCCCGAACGUGUUCGGGGCUGAAGGUACUAAACGAAUAAGCACCGGCUAACUCCGUGCCAGCAGCCGCGGUAAUACGGAGGGUGCAAGCGUUAUCCGGAUUUAUUGGGUUUAAAGGGUGCGCAGGCGGGCUAUUAAGUCAGUGGUGAAAUCCCGGGGCUCAACUCCGGAACUGCCAUUGAUACUGAUGGUCUUGAGUUUGGUUGAAGUGGGCGGAAUGUAGCAUGUAGCGGUGAAAUGCAUAGAUAUGCUACAGAACACCAAUCGCGAAGGCAGCUCACUAAGCCAAGACUGACGCUCAUGCACGAAAGCGUGGGGAUCAAACAGGAUUAGAUACCCCUGUAGUC